GAGAGGUAUGGCGAGAAUGAAUGUUAGUUUAAUAUUUUGGUGUGAUUGUUAUAUCCCCUUGUUAUGAAUGCGAAGUGUUGCACGUGUUGUGAACUGAGUGAUUAAGUCUUCGUUGAAUGUGCGAGAGAAUGUGUUACGUCAGUAAGGUCUUGCUCCCGGUCCAGGAAGGUUGGACGUUUACUUCCUGGACUGGUAUUUAUGCAUUUAUGUAUUUAUAAGUUGAUGGACUGGUGUUUUGUGUAUUACUAUUUCAUAAGAGUGAUAUAAUUCCGUGCGUUAUCAAGUAUUAAAGUAUUGUUGAUAUUCAUGAAUAUAAGGAGUUAGAGUUGAUGUAUAUUAAGUGUUCGUAUUUGAGUUAAGCAAGUAUUGAUGAAUUCUGAGUAACCAAGAAGUACCAAGCAAGUAUUAUUUGAUAUUCAAGAAACCCCUAGUGAGCCACAGGAGCCAAGUUAAGUAACACAACAAGACAAGAGACGAGCAGAGCAGAGCAGCAGCAGCGUGUAUAUAUAUAUAAUUCGACCUCUGACAUCUGGAGGCUUCGUCCGGGCAGGUAUCGUUGUACCUGUUACCUGUAUUAUUAAACACCAGUGUAUUAACCGGUGUACUAAUACAGUGUUAUUCUUGACAUCUAUCUGAGGGCUAGUCCGGGCAGGUCAGUUAUACCUGUUAUGUCAUUCGUCACGUUGAAGAAGUCGAUAAGAAAAUAAAGAAUAAGCAACACAAGCAAAGAAAAGGAUACCGAAUUUUUUGAGCUUCGUCCGGUCUGGGACAGUAACUAUUGUACAUGACAUUGUCUACUAAAGUUGGAUUCAAGGCAAUCUGUAUCAUUUGUAACCUACUACUCGUUGACAUUUUUUGGCCUCGUUCGGCCAGUAUUUGAGAGUCUCUUGACACACACUGAGGAACUUGACAUUGUUUACAUUUCUGAGAACACGGAGGAACUUUUUUUUUUCGCCAUCAACACGUUAUUGUUGAAGUCAAGCAGUCUACUAGAACUCUACGAAAGGUCAUUGACUAAUGUGGACUUGCAGCUACUUCUUGUAUACCGAGGUCAUUGCGUCACCCACCAUUUAAAGAGACAUCACCAUUUAAAGGGACAUCACCAUUUAAAGGGACACUACUAGUACUACUACUACUUACUUACUAUUGGAUUAUUGGAUUUAGAGACAUCACCAUUUAAAGAGACAUCGUCAUUUAUAGAGACAUUGCCAUUUAAGGAGACAUCGCCAUUUAAUGAGACACUACUACUACUACUAGUACUACUUACUUACUAUUGGAUUUAGAGACAUCGCCAUUUAAAGAGACAUCGCCAUUUAAAAGGACAUCGCCAUUUAAAGAGACACUACUACUACUAGUAUUCACUUACUAUUGAAUUAUUCUACAUGAAUGCAAUUACUCAAGUAAUCGUGAUUUAUCUACCUUUACUACAUUGAUGUUGGAUUAUUAUUAAAUUAUUGUACUACCUGACUAGAUAAUCAUUUUUUUUAUGCUCCCAUUAUUAUUACUAUUAAUAUCAUAUCAAUGUUUGAAUAAUUUUGUUUUCUAUUUGUUUCAUUCUCUAAAUCUGCUGUUGAGUCAUAAAGCAUUUACAAGGAGGCCGAACAGCGACCUGACACUCCAGAAGUUCUACAUUCUUAAAGCAACACUGUCGUGUGGGAAGAGUUGUCAUUUCUUUCCUGGCAUCAGACACAGAUAAGUUGAGUUUUCUUUUGUCUGUUGUAUCGGGCAUUCAGGGUCGAGUGUACAUUGCCUUUUCAGUAGUGGAGAUAAAGGUACAUCCGAAAUAGCUUGCUGUGUGUUGCACCAAGUAGAUUGGCUUCCUUCCGGUAAAGUGCAGAGAGCUGAUACAUAGAGAGUGGCAUUACGUCAUCAGUAGCGUGAGUGUCCAACGCCUAGACAGAUACCUCUGAUACCCAGGAGGUUGCACAAUCCAAUUUGACCACAGACCAUUGUCUACUAGCAGAUAAACUGUCAAGACUUAGCAUAGUUGUAUUAGUUAUAAUUGUUAGAAUUCAUCUUUUUUUUCCCAAUACAAUAUGAAACGCUGUUAUAACUAUUAGAGAUUGUAUCUUGUCAUAUAUUAUUGCUAUAUAUAGGAGCUGAUCUUUUCUUAUACUUUUGCUGUUUUACGUACGUUCCAAUAGUAAUUUAACUUUCCGUGCUACUAUUUGUUUUUUUUGUUCUCAUUUAUUCUUUUCUCUCUUUCCCUUUGUUGUAAAUAGUGUCAUAUAAGUGAUAGCCUUAGCUGGAUAUAUUUCUUUUGUUAGGUUAAUAGGGGCUAUUUCACUUUAAUGUACAUUGUAUACAUUUGUUUGUAGAUAUAUAUGUUUAUAUAUAUGUAUAUAAGUAUGUGUAUGACACAGUGUGUGUAUGUAUGUAUAUUUAUGUAUAUAUUUGAAUGACUGUUAUCUAAUAACAGUCAUAUAGUGAGAGGGGGGAUGUCAGGGAGAGGUAUGGCGAGAAUGAAUGUUAGUUUAAUAUUUUGGUGUGAUUGUUAUAUCCCCUUGUUAUGAAUGCGAAGUGUUGCACGUGUUGUGAACUGAGUGAUUAAGUCUUCGUUGAAUGUGCGAGAGAAUGUGUUACGUCAGUAAGGUCUUGCUCCCGGUCCAGGAAGGUUGGACGUUUACUUCCUGGACUGGUAUUUAUGCAUUUAUGUAUUUAUAAGUUGAUGGACUGGUGUUUUGUGUAUUACUAUUUCAUAAGAGUGAUAUAAUUCCGUGCGUUAUCAAGUAUUAAAGUAUUGUUGAUAUUCA